rnacentral:rRNA from 1 species
GAUGAACGCUGGCGGCGUGCCUAAUACAUGCAAGUCGAGCGAACGGACGAGAAGCUUGCUUCUCUGAUGUUAGCGGCGGACGGGUGAGUAACACGUGGAUAACCUCCCUAUAAGACUGGGAUAACUUCGGGAAACCGGAGCUAAUACCGGAUAAUAUUUUGCACCGCAUGGUUCAAAAGUGAAAGACGGUCUUGCUGUCACUUAUAGCUGGAUCCGCGCUGCAUUAGAUAGUUGGUAAGGUAACGGCUUACCAAGGCAACGAUGCAUAGCCGACCUGAGAGGGUGAUCGGCCACACUGGAGCUGAGACACGGUCAAGGCGCCUACGGGAGGCAGCAGUAGGGAAUCUUCCGCAAUGGGCGAAAGCCUGACGGAGCAACGCCGCGUGAGUGAUGAAGGUCUUCGGAUCGUAAAACUCUGUUAUUAGGGAAGAACAUAUGUGUAAGUAACUGUGCACAGCUUGACGGUACCUAAUCAGAAAGCCACGGCUAACUACGUG